GCCCGGAUGGCGGAAUUGGUAGACGCGCUGGUCUCAAACACCAGUGGCUGUAAGGCUGUGCCGGUUCGACCCCGGCUCCGGGUA
rnacentral:tRNA from 1 species